GACAGAGGGUGCAAACGUUGCUCGGAAUUACUGGGCGUAAAGCGCGUGUAGGCGGACCACCAAGUCGGACGUGAAAGCCCUGAGCUCAACUCAGGAACUGCAUCCGAAACUGGCGGUCUGGAGUAGUGGAGAGGAAAGCAGAAUUCCUGGUGUAGAGGUGAAAUUCGUAGAUAUCAGGAGGAACACCGGUGGCGAAGGCGGCUUUCUGGACACUUACUGACGCUGAGACGCGAAAGCGUGGGGUAGCAAACAGG
rnacentral:rRNA from 1 species